rnacentral:sRNA from 1 species
GGAUGUGAGGGCGAUCUGGCUGCGACAUCUGUCACCCCAUUGAUCGCCAGGGUUGAUUCGGCUGAUCUGGCUGGCUAGGCGGGUGUCCCCUUCCUCCCUCACCGCUCCAUGUGCGUCCCUCCCGAAGCUGCGCGCUCGGUCGAAGAGGACGACCAUCCCCGAUAGAGGAGGACCGGUCUUCGGUCAAGGGUAUACGAGUCCAAAGAGAGAGUAAAAGAUCGUAUCUAAAAGAAAUCAGUAUUGAUAAAACCUUGAAUGGGGAGCAGGAAAUAAGCUAGAAAUAAAAACAAAAUGAAUUCUUU